CACGAAGUUAGCCGGAGCUUCUUCUGCGGGUACCGUCAUUAUCGUCCCCGCCGAAAGAGUUUUACAACCCUAGGGCCUUCAUCACUCACGCGGCAUGGCUGGUUCAGACUUGCAUCCAUUGACCAAUAUUCCCUA
rnacentral:rRNA from 1 species